GUGCAGAAUAGACAAAAAGCUUCAAACAACAAACGAUUUGGGAAAUAUCAAUUACGCCAGUAAUCUCCGAUUCUCACCACAAAAUGAUAUUAUCCUUGUUUACAACACAAUGCAAAAAGUUGACAGCUGCUUACCUGUAACUACCAUAACCUUCAAGUGCCCAAAACAAAUGGGUGAUAAAGGCCCAUUGUUGACAGCUGCUGAUGACUGUGCAUUUGAAGUUCUCUGGGAGACAGACUUUGCUUGCCCACAGUCCAGUGUCAUGUCUACAAAUAGCUGUGUGCUGAGGAAUGAAUUUGUUAACUUCGACUUGACGCCGCUCACUAGAGCCAUGAUCACCCCUUACAUAAUAAAGCAUGAUGACGUUGAUUCACAAGGCAAAACAACCCAUUAUAAUUAUUACAUCAAUGUUUGUCAAGCACUUGUUUCUCUUUGUGGAGGUUUGUGUCAUGGACAUUAUAUUUGAUUGAGGAAUAGAAAACACUUUCCCAGUUUCUAUUUAACAAUUAUUAGAUUAUAAGCUUAAGAUUUCUAAUGUGUUAUACUUGUAGUUGAAGAGAAUGCAGUCCGAAUCAACUAUCACGCAUAGAAAUUGAAAACGAAUAGGCUACAUUGUGUAAUUGUUUCAGUAUAAAUCUAGUUAUUCAAAACUUUAUCUAAUUCUUCUUCAGAUACAUUUUGAAAAUGCAAAGAAGCAGCCACAGCCACUGCUGGGUUACUGUCUAUCUACAACAUAAUAGAUAGUGAGUAGCAUAGCCAAUAAGAGAGCGGCAUUCAUGCACGAAUGCUAGUAGAUUUAUACUAACAAGUUAUGGAUGACACAUAAUGGGAGUGUUUUUUAGUUCACCCAAACUAAUUGCUAUCAGUAUUUCUAUACCACAAAAGAAACAGAGAGAAAAUCCUUUCUAUAAUGUGAGAAAAAGAAAGGAAAAUGAAUUUUUUCUUUUGAUUGGCAAAAUUUAGAUCCUCUUUAAUUUGUUCUCACCAUAUGUGUAAUUACAUCAACAGCCCAUGCGACCUCUGUGUUUCUAUCAAGUUUUAGUAUAAAUCUACAAACAUUGUAUCAUUGUAUCAUUGUAUCAUUGUAUCAUUCUAUCAUUCUAUCAUUCUCCAAUGUCAUUCUCUCUAAUAUUUUAUUGGCUAUACCACUCACCAUCUAUUCUUUUGUACAUGUGGAUGGUGAGUAGCCUAACAAUGUGCAGUUGUUAACAAAAUGAUGGCCGCUUCUUUGCAUUUUCAAAGUGUCUGUAAACAGGAUUUAGACAAA
rnacentral:misc_RNA from 1 species